rnacentral:rRNA from 1 species
CCAUUGACUUGGACAUUUUU